GAUGAACGCUGGCGGCGUGCCUAAUACAUGCAAGUCGAGCGAACGGACGAGAAGCUUGCUUCUCUGAUGUUAGCGGCGGACGGGUGUGUAACACGUGGAUAACCUACCUAUAAGACUGGGAUAACUUCGGGAAACCGGCGCUAAUACCGGAUAAUAUUUUGAACCGCAUGGUUGAAUAGUGAAAGACGGUCUUGCUGUCACUUAUAGAUGGAUCCGCGCUGCAUUAGCUAGUUGGUAAGGUAACGGCUUACCAAGGCAACGAUGCAUAGCCGACCUGAGAGAGUGGUCGGCCGCACUGGAACUGAGACACGGACCUGACGCCUACGGGAGGCCGCAGUAGGGAAUGGUCCGCAGUGGUCGAAAACCUUACGGAGCAACGCCGCGUGAGUUAUGAAGGUGUUCGGAGCGUAAAACUCUGUUAUUGGUUAUAAACAUAUUUGUAAGUAACUGUGCACAUCGUGACGGUACCUGGUCAGAAAGCCACGGCUAACUACGUG
rnacentral:rRNA from 1 species